CCCCUCCUGUUUUGCCAGGCGUCCGGGAGCUGGAUGGUGUCUCCAGGGCUACCGAGUGGCCGCGGGGCUGGCUGGUCUGACACCACCUGUCAGGGACUUGGACACCUCCUAUUUUGUUGCAUCACCAUCCCUAAGGUGUUGCCUUUGUCUACGUGGUCCCAAAUGAGUCCUUGUUCUAGGCAGCAGAAUGAGGGAGAAGAAAAAGAAGGCAUCUCCUCCAUCCUCUCCCUGGACCCCGUCCCCCGCUAUUUAAAGUUGCCAAACACUACAUUGAUUUCCAUCUACCAUCCCAUAAGCAUCUGAAUGCAGAGUUCCAAAGAAUAGCAAGGACAGAUAAGAAAGCCUUCCUCAGCGAUCAAUGCAAAGAAAUAGAGGAAAACAA
ensembl:lncRNA